UACGUAGGGUGCAAGCGUUGUCCGGAAUUAUUGGGCGUAAAGAGCUCGUGGGCGGUCUGUCGCGUCGGCUGUGAAAACCCGGGGCUCAACCCCGGGCCUGCAGUCGAUACGGGCAGACUAGAGUGCGGUAGGGGAGACUGGAAUUCCUGGUGUAGCGGUGAAAUGCGCAGAUAUCAGGAGGAACACCGGUGGCGAAGGCGGGUCUCUGGGCCGUAACUGACGCUGAGGAGCGAAAGCGUGGGGAGCAAACAGG
rnacentral:rRNA from 1 species